GACGAACGCUGGCGGCGUGCCUAAUACAUGCAAGUCGAGCGGACAGAAGGGAGCUUGCUCCCGGAAGUCAGCGGCGGACGGGUGAGUAACACGUGGGCGACCUGCCUGUAAGACUGGGAUAACUUCGGAAAACCGGAGCUAAUACCGGAUAGGUUCUUCCCCCGCAUGGGGGAAGAUGGAAAGACGGUUUCGGCUGUCACUUACAGAUGGGCCCGCGGCGCAUUAGCUAGUUGGUGGGGUAAUGGCCCACCAAGGCGACGAUGCGUAGCCGACCUGAGAGGGUGAUCGGCCACACUGGGACUGAGACACGGCCCAGACUCCUACGGGAGACAGCAGUAGGGAAUCUUCCGCAAUGGACGAAAGUCUGACGGAGCAACGCCGCGUGAGCGAAGAAGGCCUUCGGGUCGUAAAGCUCUGUUGUCAGGGAAGAACAAGUGCCAGAGUAACUGCUGGCACCUUGACGGUACCUGACCAGAAAGCCACGGCUAACUACGUGCCAGCCGCCGCUGUAACAC
rnacentral:rRNA from 1 species